UACAGCUGGAUCAACUGAAACUGAAUGGAAGAUUAGCAGCCAACUGGCCAUUUUCUUAUGCUCUGCUUGAGCGUUAACGAUAGUAGGAGAAAGCAGACGAGCAGAGAAAGCACUUAACAUUGACCUUAGGAUGGUUAGACCUAAGGUUCAACUUUAUAUGCAAAUGGAAAAGCUUACAAUCUAUUACACAUAUUGCAUUGUUUAUAGCUCCCAAUGGUAUAAUAGAUAAGCUAAUGUUUAAGUAAAGCCGACUUAUGAUUAUAUUGUAUCGCAAGAGCGAAAUAUGA